CAUCCAGGAUAGAAAGGACCAGCCAGAGCUCGUUCCGUAGUGUAUUUCAGAAUCGUCAGGGAGGAGCCGGGAGCGGAAUUAUCCCGUUAACACUGAGACCACAUUUCACCUGUUACUUGUUUUUCUAAAUGGAGUAGGAGAGAAAGAUGCUAAAAUGUGAUCUUGGGAGGAGUCCCCCAGUCCCCCGAAAAAGAAGAAGAAGAAAAAAAGCAGAACUCCAAACCCCUGUGGUCAUGGCAAUUUCCCAUCAAAACUGCCCAUGUAAAAUAAACACAAGCUGCUAAAAGUGAAUGUUAAGAAGGAAGGCACUGGUUAGUGGGUGGUCCUGACCAAUCCCCUGGAGCUGGAGAGGGGUUUUCCCACGGCCUUUGGUUUAAUGUGUCUGUAAACUCAACAAACCUCCGUUUCCCUGAGGUAAUCUGCAAAAACAUCAGUUUUCAGUCCCCAGAGACCAUUUCCAAUUAAACCUCGCCCCCCAAAUCAUUCAAUGUAACAUUUGCCUUAUUUUUAGAAGAAACAAAUGUUCCCAUAUUAUUCCCAGUUUUUGAGAGAAUCCUGAGGCACCUCUCUCGGCUGCUACUUGAAGUUGAAUUCUUGAAAAAUCUUAUGUAAACAGAAAGCUUAGGCCAGGUCAGGAGUAAAAUGCAGUCAAAGCUGUUUCUCAUCACACAGGUGAUUACAGGUUAGCUCUGCCCUAUUCAAGACAAUCUGAUCCAUUCCUUUUUUUGACAGCAGUUUAGAGACAAUUGGCCAACAAAACCAGCCUGGCCAACAAGGUGAAACCGUCGCUACUAAAAAUGCAAAACUUAGCUGGGCGUGGUGGCAGCAAGUUACUCAAUCCUACCUCCUCACCCCUUCCGCCCAACCCCCAGCAUCCCUUAGAAGUGACCCCUAGUUUGAGGCUG
rnacentral:sRNA from 1 species